rnacentral:ncRNA from 1 species
AGUCAUUGUGUCAUUUAGACAAAAGAAUAUAGGACACUUCUGAGUCCAAGGUAGUUUUCUCUGUCAACUGGACUGUGUUUCUUCUCUUUGAAGAUUGAGGAUAUACACAGACGACACUUCUGAGGUAAUUAGAAUGAGUAAACUAAAGUGCGAGUUUGGUUGCUGCAGCUUUGGAAAUUUCAGCACCAAUCACAUACAAAGUAUGAGCUGGGGUCAUGAUUAAGCUGGACAGCCAGGGGCAUUCAUAUUGUGCAACUAGAGGUGAAAUUCUUUGAUGAUGAAAGAUGGAUGAUAGCGACAGCAUUAGCCGAUAAUGUUUUUAUC